GCUGGGUGUGGUGUUGCGCACCUGUAAUCCCAGCUACUUGGGAGGCUGAGGCGGGGGAAUCGCUUGAACUCGGGAGGCGGAGGUUGCAGUGAGCCGAGAUCGUGCCACUGCACUCCAGCCUGGGCGAAAGAGUGAGACUCCGUCUCAA
rfam:Gorilla gorilla gorilla genomic chromosome, chrX, whole genome shotgun sequence